GGGGGUGCUCUGGUUGGCCAAAAUUCCUGCUACUCGCAGCAAUUUUGCCCUCCGGGUCUUUCGAACGCAUGCGUUCUCAAGAGCUUAAAUGCUCGCUAGCUCGCAUUUAAUCGACAGGCCUGUCUCAACCGAGCAUCCUUGUGUAGAACACAAGGGGGUGCUCUGGUUUCGACAGGGUUACCGAAGUGUUAGUUGCAAGUCGAGGUCUCAGACGAGGGCAACUCGUUAAAAAGUCUGAAAAAAAAUAAGUGCUGACGAAAACUACGCACUCGCUGCCUAAUUAACGGCAACGCCGGGCCUCAUUCCGCUCCCAUCGGGAUGUACGUCCGGACGCAAUAUGGGAUAGGGAAGUGUCAUGCCUGGGGGCAUCUCCCGAGAUUUACUAGGCUGGUCAAACUCCGCGCCGACCUUCUUGGGCGUGGAUAAGACGAGAUCUUAAAUACGAAGGGAACACUUGUAGGAACGUACAUGGACGUGAUUUUGGACAGGGGUUCGACUCCCCUCACCUCCAGAA
rnacentral:tmRNA from 1 species